CCAAUAGCGUAUAUUAAAGUUGUUGCAGUUAAAAAGCUCGUAGUUGAAUUUCGGGAUCAAUAUGUCGGUCGUGCCUUCGGUACGUACUGGUAUCAUUGGUCUCUCCUUUCUGACGAACCAUGAUGUCAUUAAUUUGGUGUUAUGGGGAGUUAGGACUGUUACUUUGAAAAAAUUAGAGUGUUUAAAGCAGGCUUUAGCUUGAAUACAUUAGCAUGGAAUAAUGAAAUAGGACGUUCGAACCUAUUUUGUUGGUUUCUAGGAUCAACGUAAUGAUUAAUAGGGAUAGUUGGGGGCAUUAGUAUUCAAUUGUCAGAGGUGAAAUUCUUGGAUUUAUUGAAGACUAACUACUGCGAAAGCAUUUGCCAAGGAUGUUUUCAUUAAUCAAGAACGAAAGUUAGGGGAUCGAAGACGAUCAGAUACCGUCGUAGUCUUAACCAUAAACUAUGCCGACUAGGGAUCGGAUGAUGUUAAUUUUUUAAUGACUCAUUCGGCGCCUUACG
rnacentral:ncRNA from 2 species